GCCAACUAUUUGAUAUUUUAUUAAACAUGGAACAUGUCAGAAACAAAUUAAGAAAUAUAACACUGCAUAAUUGUGCUUAUCGCAAAUAAUCCAUUUGAUACUGUUGUCAAACUUUUGCCUUCAAAAAACGUUCACGUAUUAGAUACAUUUAACAUUCAGUGGAUAACAGGAAAAGCCUAAUAAACUCAAACUGUUGACAUUACAUGUAUGAGGAAUAUAAUAUGAAUUGGGAAAAAACAAAAGCAAAAUGGCUUUAAAGCCAAAACCAAAAGCUACAUUCAGUGCAUACUGUAGACUUAAUACUAUGCAUCUCUAUGAGACAUUUUAUUUUUUAAAUACAAUUAAAUAAAUUGCUUAGUCUUUGUAAGACUGAGGGUGUCUAUCUGACAUAGCACUGUUCUGAUACUCUAAUCACUAUCACACACUUGCAUAGGUAUGUCUUGUUUGAGACCACCAAAGGAACUUGGAGUGGAAGGUGCUGAGAUGGACAUGUUUCCCAGAGUUCUCUGUGGACAAGGUUGCUGAGAUCAGCUCAACGGUGCACCUGGCAUGCUCUCCCCGGGCACCCGGGCAGCAGCUGUCGGAAUACACUCGGCUUUGUGUUUUUAUACGGGAGAAGAGCUGCAUGCCAAGGUCUUUGACCUUAUCAUCCACCUCACUGGUUCCGGAAGAAUCCUUUCCGCCCCCUGUGGCUACCAAAGCCCCAGCCGAUACACGGAGCACAGCAGCAGACCAUCUCCAGCCUCAGACUAACAGCCAAGCGCCACAACCAGUUAGGAGUGAUCUCAGCACAGCGACCAAGUGGCUCAA